rnacentral:lncRNA from 1 species
UGAAGCCAAACUAAAUUUUGAAAUCUAAGCUUGUGAUGUUGACUUGGGAAUCUGGAGAAGAGGUCGGAUCUAAGCGGAAAAGAGACGAGGGCGAUGAGUCGGGCAAGGUGGUGGUUCGCCGUCGUCUGAAAUAAGGCGAUGAGUUGCCAGAAAUCAAAUAGGGCAGAGGCUGGAAAUUGGGGCAUGGGUUUUUCAGGCGGCCCCUCUGCCGCCGUUACCUUUCCAAAGCGGGGA